UUAAUCGAGGAAAUCCCUUCGGGGACAAGGUGACAGGUGGUGCAUGGUUGUCGUCAGCUCGUGUCGUGAGAUGUUGGGUUAAGUCCCGCAACGAGCGCAACCCUUGUCGUUAGUUACUACCAUUAAGUUGAGGACUCUAGCGAGACUGCCUGGGUUAACCAGGAGGAAGGUGGGGAUGACGUCAAAUCAUCAUGCCCCUUAUGUGUAGGGCUACACACGUGCUACAAUGGCUGGUACAGAGAGAUGCAAUACCGCGAGGUGGAGCCAAACUUAAAAACCAGUCUCAGUUCGGAUUGUAGGCUGAAACUCGCCUACAUGAAGCUGGAGUUACUAGUAAUCGCGAAUCAGAAUGUCGCGGUGAAUACGUUCCCGGGUCUUGUACACACCGCCCGUCACACCAUGAGAGUUGGCAAUACCCGAAGUCCGUGAGCUAACCGCAAGGAGGCAGCGGCCGAAGGUAGGGUCAGCGAUUGGGGUGAAGUCGUAACAAGGUAGCCGUAGGAGAACCUGCGGCUGGAUCACCUCCUUUCUAAGGAAUACAUCUUAGGACAACUAAGAUGAUAAUGAAUUCUGGAUAAUAUCUCUGUUUAAUUUUGAGAGACUAUCUCUCAAAAUUGUUCUUUGAAAAUUGCACAUAAUUUAAUUUAUAGAAACAACAAGCCAAAUUGGCAAAACCAAUUUCUAUUCUUUGUAAAAUGAGAACUAUAACUAAUAUAGGUCAAGCUACAAAGGGCGCAUGGUGAAUGCCUUGGCAUCAGGAGCCGAUGAAGGACGUGAUAAGCUGCGAUAAGCUUCGGGUAGGCGCACAUAGCCUGAGAUCCGAAGAUCUCCGAAUGAGGAAACUCACAUGGGAAACCCCAUGUAUCAUUAAGUGAAUACAUAGCUUAAUGAAGGUAACCCAGGGAACUGAAACAUCUAAGUACCUGGAGGAAGAGAAAGAAAAAUCGAUUUUCUUAGUAGCGGCGAGCGAAAGGGAAAGAGCCCAAACCGGAAACUUGUUUCCGGGGUUGUGGACAUAGCAUGAAAGUGGAGGCUAUUGUAACUGAAGAGAACUGGAAAGUUCCACCGUAGAAGGUAAUAGUCCUGUAAGUGAAACGAGAAGACCACGAGUUAUGAUCCAGAGUACCACGAGACACGUGAAACCUUGUGGGAAGCAGGGAGGACCACCUCCCAAGGCUAAAUACUACCUGAUGACCGAUAGUGAAGAAGUACCGUGAGGGAAAGGUGAAAAGAACCCCGGGAGGGGAGUGAAAUAGAACCUGAAACCGUGUGCCUACAACCGCUCAGAGCCCCUUAUGAGGGUGAUGAGGUGCUUUUUGUAGAACGAGCCAACGAGUUACGGUAUGUAGCAAGGUUAAGUACUUAAGGUACGGAGCCGAAGGGAAACCGAGUCUGAAUAGGGCGACUAGUUGCAUGCCGUAGACCCGAAACCGGGUGACCUAUCCAUGGCCAGGUUGAAGCGAGGGUAAAACCUCGUGGAGGACCGAACCACGUUGCUGUUGAAAAAGCAUGGGAUGAGCUGUGGAUAGCGGAGAAAUUCCAAUCGAACCCGGAGAUAGCUGGUUCUCUCCGAAAUAGCUUUAGGGCUAGCGUCGAGUAUGAGUAGUGGAGGUAGAGCACUGAAUGGGCUAGGGGGCAUAGCGCUUACCGAACCUUAUCAAACUCCGAAUGCCACAUACUUUGAGCUCGGCAGUCAGACUACGAAUGAUAAGAUCCGUGGUCAAAAGGGAAACAGCCCAGAUCGUCAGCUAAGGUCCCAAAGUGUAAGUUAAGUGGGAAAGGAUGUGAGAUUUCUAAGACAACUAGGAUGUUGGCUUAGAAGCAGCCAUUCAUUAAAAGAGUGCGUAAUAGCUCACUAGUCGAGAGAUCUUGCGCCGAAAAUGUAACGGGGCUAAACUUACCACCGAAGCUACGGGCUUGAACUUAGUUCAAGCGGUAGGAGAGCGUCGUAACCGGGCUGAAGUCGUACCGUAAGGAGCGGUGGACUGGUUACGAGUGAGAAUGUUGGCAUCAGUAGCGAGAUGUGGGUGAGAAUCCCACAGGCCGAAAACCUAAGGUUUCCUCAGGAAGGUUCGUCCGCUGAGGGUUAGUCGGGACCUAAGCCGAGGCCGAAAGGCGUAGGUGAUGGACAACUGGUUGAUAUUCCAGUACCACUACCAUCGUUAUUAUCGAUGGCGUGACGCAGGAGGAUAGUGUGUGCUAGCUAUUGGAUGCUAGUCUAAGCGUUUAGGCAGUGAGAGUAGGCAAAUCCGCUCUCAUAAUGCUGAGGCGUGAUGGGGAAGGUUCCACGGAACCGAAGUACAUGAUUCCACGCUGCCAAGAAAAGCGUCUAGAGAGAGAAGUAGUGCCCGUACCGCAAACCGACACAGGUAGGUGAGGAGAGAAUCCUAAGGCCGGCGGAAGAAUUACAGUUAAGGAACUCGGCAAAUUGACCCCGUAAGUUCGCGAGAAGGGGUGCCUACGAGAGUAGGCCGCAGAGAAUAGGCCCAAGCAACUGUUU
rnacentral:rRNA from 1 species